rnacentral:lncRNA from 1 species
GAGGAGCAUGGCCGGCGGUCGAUUGCGAUCGCCGAUGCUAGAAAAAUCCAAGGAAAAAUGGCCCAAAACAGGGGUCUCUUUCCUGAUCGAAAAUCGGCAAUGCUCGUCGCCGGCCAUCACGUGCAAGGGUAUGGGAGGAAAGGGAAGGAAGAGAGGAAGGGGAGGAAGACUUACCUUGGCCUCCGGUGACCCCACCGGCGA